UUAGAUUUAGUUAAUUAAUAUAACAUUAAUUUGUCAAAUUAAAAUAAUUUUUAUCAUAAAUAAUCUCAU
rnacentral:tRNA from 1 species